CUAUUUAAGAAACAAUUUGAUCAAAAGCUAAGGGUGGUAGGAAAUAAUCAGAUUUUGGCAAUUAAAAAGUAAAGGAAAAAUAAAUUUGGUCUUCCAAAAAAUAUAGCCUUCAAAGGCUUUGUCUUCUCCGGCUAAUGAACUGCCGGAAUGGGCAGUCACCACCCACCACAAACGGCCCCCCCUUCUCCAUUAUACUCAGACCCCAACAACCACCGUUGCUCCAGCAAAACACCACUAGUUCAGCAACCAACAACCAACCCAAAGAGCUUCCAAACCAGGCCCACAACGCAACCACCGAAAAUCUUUAGUUUUUUCUUCUUUUUCAGGUGAAACAGUAACCGAAAACAACUAUCAAGAAGCCUCCAAACUGCUGCCAGUUUCUUGCUCUCACCCGCUGCAAACAAACAACAACCAGUGAGAUUUCAAGCUCUGGGAACGGCGAGCUUCGGAGCUCACAACAAUGACAGCAGCCCAACACCAUUUCCGGCGAGACCAGACCCUUUUCCCUUCACGAUUUUGUUGUUUUGCAGGUGUCUCAGCUUCGACAUAAAGCGCUUGCGAAUACAAGCUCCGACAACCUCAAUAAAUCUCCAGAUCUGGCCAGAUUCCUAAUUCUCCGGUACCCAAAGAUGCUUUUCCAUUGGAGUCAUUCGAACGAAGUUCGAAUCAUAUUGUUUUAUUAAUUAUUAUGUAUAUUAUCUACGUUAGGCAAAUUUUAGGUCGUAUGUUAUAUUAUUAUUUUAUUUUCAUUAUUUGUGUAUGUUGCAUUUUAUUAGACUUGUAUAUUAUUUUUAUUUCCUUCUCAAUUUGAAAAAAUGAAUUCAAUCUGGACCCACAAUUGUGGAUUUCGAAGGGCGCCUAACACCAUCCCUUCGAGAUAAAUUGAACCCUUUAUCUAAAAUUUUUUGAUUUCGUGGA